AUGAGGCAAGCGCCGGCGGCCUCUGGUAUCAUGGAAACCAUGGCCUCCAGCCUCCGGUAUUCCCUGCAUGUCCACGUCUCCCGUACCUCCGGUCUCACCGUCACCGUCACCCCAAGAGCAUGUGGCCAAAAGAUGGCGAGCGGCAGCGGGAAGGCGACGGCCUCGUCCUGGGCGGCGGCGAUGAGCGUGGGCGCGGGCACGGUGGAGGCGAUCACGGAGCGGCACGCCGGGCUGUGCCGCUGGAACCACCAGGCGCUCCCGUGUGUCUUCCAGCAGCGCGCCGGCACCUCGGCCGCCGGGAACGGCGCCUGCGGCAAGGGCAAGGCGGCGACCACUGCCGGUGGAGCAACGGCGAGGCAGGAGCAGGAAGAGGAGCUCCGGACUGUGAUGUACCUCAGCAACUGGGGACCCAACAACUAA
rnacentral:rRNA from 1 species